rnacentral:rRNA from 1 species
GUAUUCGANGGGUGCAGCNUNUUNGAUUACUGGGGUAAAGCUNUGUAGUGGUUGUUAGUCAGGGGUGAAAUCCCCAAGNUCAACUUNGGANUGCCUUUGAUACUAGCUAGCUAGAGCAUGAUAGAGGAAGAUGGAAUAUCUGGUGUAGGGGUGNAAUCCGUAGAUAUCAGAUGGAACACCGGUGGCGAAGGCGGUCUUCUGGAUUAUUGCUGACACUGAGAGACGAAAGCGUGGGAGCAAACAGAAUUAGAUACUCUGGUAGUCCACGCCCUAAACGAUGUAUGCUUGUUGUUGGUUUCCUUCGGGGAAUUAGUGACGUAGUUAACGCGUUAAGCAUACCGCCUGGGGAGUACGAUCGCAAGAUUAAAACUUAAAGGAAUUGACGGGGACCCGCACAAGCGGUGGAGUAUGUUGUUUAAUUCG